rnacentral:lncRNA from 1 species
AAGUAAUGCCUAUUAUGUUGAAUUGAUUUAUGCAACCCUGAUUCCAAACAUUUAAAAAAAUAUAUUCAAGGACAAGAACAGAGGCUUUCUAUAGCAGCUGUACUGUUGAGAGAGGGGCUUUGGGUUGGGAGGGGCGUCAGCCCUAGUACCCAGUAGGAAGUCACGAAGGACCAUACUGUCACAAGUCACAAGGUGACUUUUCUGAAUAUCACCACACUCCCAGCAGUUCAGGAGGGGAGAGACUAACAGUUAAUUUCAACCACAGAUAGUAGUUAUUUAGUAGAUCAGUACAGAUUGCUUCAUAUUUUGUGGAUAUUAGAGUUUUGUUAAAAAAAAAUGUUUUUAGGAAUGCCUGGGUGGCUCAGUGGUUGAGCAUCUGCCUUCAGGGAGUGAUCCCAGAGUCCCAGGAUCGAGUCCCAUAUCAGGCUCCCUGCAGGGAGCCUGCUUCUCCUCCCUCUCCCUGUGUCUCUGCCUCUCUCUCUGUGUCUCUCAUGGAUAAAUAAAAUCUUUUAAAAAAAAGUGUUUUUAGUAAAAAUAAUACUGGUAUUGUCUAUGUACUUGAAUGUGACACAAUGACUAAUUAGGUGAUAAUUGCAAGGAAGGAUUUAUUAUUAAAAUAAUCACUUUUUUCUUUACGAAAUGAACACAUGUUCAUGGCAGAAACCAGAAAAUAUAAACUUUAAAAGAUGAAAUCUAAACGUGACAUGUAACUGAAUCCAUAAAAAAUCAUGCUGAUGUAUAUAUGAGGGAUUCUUCUUUUUCCUUUUAGUGUUACAAUACAAAGUUAGCCAAAGCUCAACUAUUAAUAGAACUUUAUUGAAUGGCCGAGUGCAACAUUUCUGGAUUUUCCUCAUUGGACCCUACAGGGGAAUAAUAGUUUUUAGAGAGUGUUCCAGUAAUACUUGCUAUGUUAGUAACUACUGAUUAAUGCUAUAGGGAGAAAAGCUAUGCCCAAGUAUAUUAGCUGUUAACUGACCACGAUUUAUAACAAAUAAUUUUUUUAUUAUCUUAGGGAAAAACACUAAAACUUAGUAUUUUAUCUGGAAUUACUUUUAAUAGUAACUGCUAACCAAAUGUUAGAGAAAAGACUAUAAGCUCUUUAGUGGAUAGAGAAGAUACCUACUGAGCCUAGUAUAAGUCUGGCAAUCAUGAAAUAUUUGUUGAUGACCAAAGCUCUUUAUUCUUGUAUAAUCUUGAUAAUUUCCUCAGAACUGAAUCUAAUUGGCUGUAGCGGAAAAUAUGGUCAAAAUUUUCAUAGAAUUAUUUUGUACUGCUUGUUUGAUAUUUACAAUUUUGAUUGAAUGUGAUUAGAA